CACGUAGGGGCCAAGCGUUGUCCGGAUUUAUUGGGCGUAAAGAGCUCGUAGGCGGUUGGGUAAGUCGGGUGUGAAAACUCCAAGCUCAACUUGGAGACGCCACCCGAUACUGCUCUGACUUGAGUUCGGUAGGGGAGUGGGGAAUUCCUGGUGUAGCGGUGAAAUGCGCAGAUAUCAGGAGGAACACCGGUGGCGAAGGCGCCACUCUGGGCCGAAACUGACGCUGAGGAGCGAAAGCGUGGGUAGCAAACAGG
rnacentral:rRNA from 1 species